rfam:Strongylocentrotus purpuratus Contig142861_fixed, whole genome shotgun sequence.
GGAGUGUUGGCUUAGUCAGUAAAGCGUCCGCCUCACAACCGGGAGGUCGUGGGUUCAAACCCCGGCUGCGUCA